rnacentral:lncRNA from 1 species
UACAUCCCCAAAGAUCAGCUAGGUCUUUCACAAGGUGUGUAAUGUAAGACUUAGGUCAGGGGAUAUGAAAGAAAGGAUAGGAAAUACUAAAGCUUGGGACAUACCAAAGUGUCUUCCUUGUGAAAGCAGCAAGCUCUCCUCUUGAAUUAAUCUUUGUUGUUUGUUCGUGGCAUCCAGGACCUGUGCGAUAAUGGAAGGAUUUAGAAAUUACAUCCUCAUUGAUCUUUUUCUUUUCUUUUCUUUUUCUAAAACUUUGUUUCUUUUUUCUUUCUUUUUUUCUACAAUUCCAGCACACAUACCUUGGUACAUACCACUUUCUUGAUGUAGAGCUCGAAUUAUCUUUGUCUUCAU